rnacentral:rRNA from 1 species
GACGAACGCUGGCGGCGUGCCUAAUACAUGCAAGUAGAACGCUGAAGAGAGGAGCUUGCUCUUCUUGGAUGAGUUGCGAACGGGUGAGUAACGCGUAGGUAACCUGCCUUGUAGCGGGGGAUAACUAUUGGAAACGAUAGCUAAUACCGCAUAACAAUGGAUGACACAUGUCAUUUAUUUGAAAGGGGCAAUUGCUCCACUACAAGAUGGACCUGCGUUGUAUUAGCUAGUAGGUGAGGUAAUGGCUCACCUAGGCGACGAUACAUAGCCGACCUGAGAGGGUGAUCGGCCACACUGGGACUGAGACACGGCCCAGACUCCUACGGGAGGCAGCAGUAGGGAAUCUUCGGCAAUGGGGGCAACCCUGACCGAGCAACGCCGCGGGAGUGAAGAAGGUUUUCGGGUCGUAAAGCUCUGUUGUAAGUCAAGAACGGGUGUGAGAGUGGAAAGUUCACACUGUGACGGUAGCUGACCAGAAAGGGACGGCUAACUACGUG